GAAACUACUGGAAUCUAAUCCCGAUUUCCUUCCCGCAGGCUCGAUUACCUGUAUUGAGUGAAACGGCAUCACUGCAGCGAUUGAUUUUCUCUUUCUCGCUGAACUGUCAAAACACGGAUGCGAACAUUAUAAUAUUGAAGAAACAGUCUCAAAUAUCAACUGGUUUUUGUGUACUUAUUUUGCAGUUAGAAUACUUAUCGAAGCGGAAAAUAUUGCUAAAGUUUCUCUGCCUCGGAAGCAAGCAAAUAAAAAAACAGCAUAAGGAAUUCCCAAAUCGAAUUAUGGACAGAAUUGAAUUCCACGAUGGCACAAUGGCAAAAUAAUGUUCCUUUAUUAUUGAGAGUAGCAGGAACAGCGAAAACAUGCAACUGAUUUGGAUGAUUGAAAGGAAGCUUAUGUGUAGUUUUAUCCCAAAUCCAACAAACGGCGAAACUCCUAGAAAAUAUAGCGAAUGUAACUGGAGUCAAAAAAUUUUUUUAUUAAUCUUAAUUUUUGAGACUUUCAGCCUCCUGGGCUGGUUCGUCUCAGGAGUCAAAACAUUAAAGAAAAUUUAAGCAUUAAAUUUGGCAAUUUGCACUUGACGAACAAUCGGGAAUGGCGAAGCUCUAGGAAGCGAAAAAACAGAAUGCUGGAUGCUGCGUAAGGUAUUUGGGAGAUCAUCGGUGCUCAAUACAAUACUGUACGUUCAGAAGAACAAGUGGCACUUGAAUAAUUGACAAGCACAAAUCCAUAUAUUAUUUAUGAUUAUGAGGAUGUGCCACUUUACUUCAAGAAAUCAACGCAAUCUCUAUGUUUCCUAUAAUCCCUAUAUAGAAAUAUAUGAAAAUGUAGAAUAGGUGGUUUAUUGCAAGUCUGUUUAACAGAAAACUGAAUUCGUAACCAUGAUUCAACGUAUCCACGUUGAAGAUUAAACCCGUAUCAAUGAUUGAUGCUAAAUGCUCCUGCUGUCGAUAUGGAGCACGAAUGUGACGAACACAAUCGAACGAGGAAAUUUCUGAUGAAUGAAAGCACCUGUUGGAAUUUCGUUUAUGACGAUAUAAACGCUACGAAUGGUAUAGGAUAUCGUAACAGUGAAGAUCAACUGCUAUUCUAAGAGGUCGUUAUGUCUAGAUUUUUGCAUAUGGAUGCUGAGCAUGUUUUGCUUAUGAUCGUUGAGCUAGAGAAACGCCGGGCAAUAGCGACUAAAACGCACAAACACUAGAGCCUUCAGAUUAUUGUAUUUUUUAUAUUUUCAUCUUUGUAAUCUUAUAAUUUAUAGAUUUCACUAUAAUAACUAUUAUAACAAGAACAAAAUGAUUUUUUAUAAACAACGGUGGUCUUCUUUUUUUUUGUUUCUUAUUGCAAGAGAACAGAUUAAGCCAUAAUAAGGGUCGAGUAGUACUUCAAUCGGUCGACGUUGUGCCAGAUUGGCACAGUUUUGGCUCGUAAUUGGUGGUCGAAUGCGAAGGUUGGGUCGACAGAAUUAUUGCAAUAUGGCACGAAGUCGGCAUGGUUGUCGACAGCAUUUUCCGAUUCGGCACAACAAUGUAGAGUGGGAGGGGUUUUCAGAUUUUUUAUGGCACUUUUUAUAGCAAAAACAUUUGACGGAGCAUCUGCAUUUUGAAAUCAAUUAAACAAAUCCUAUUUGCAUUGACAUGACCCAACUAGGAACAACUCUAUUUCGGUGGCGUGUCAUAGUUACACGACAUCUGAC